rnacentral:rRNA from 1 species
GAGUUUGAUCGUGGCUCAGAUUGAACGCUGGCGGCAUGCCUUACACAUGCAAGUCGAACGGCAGCACGGGAGCUUGCUCCUGGUGGCGAGUGGCGAACGGGUGAGUAAUGCAUCGGAACGUAUCCUGGAGUGGGGGAUAACGUAGCGAAAGUUACGCUAAUACCGCAUAUUCUGUGAGCAGGAAAGCGGGGGACCUUCGGGCCUCGCGCUCUUGGAGCGGCCGAUGUCGGAUUAGCUAGUUGGUGAGGUAAAGGCUCACCAAGGCGACGAUCCGUAGCAGGUCUGAGA